rnacentral:rRNA from 1 species
GACGAACGCUGGCGGCGUGCUUAACACAUGCAAGUCGAACGGAAAGGCCUGCUUUCCCUUGUGGAUUGCGGGUACUCGAGUGGCGAACGGGUGAGUAACACGUGAGUGAUCUGCCCCCAACUUGGGUAUAAGCCUGGACAACUGGGUCUAAUUCCCGAUAGGACUGCAGGGUGGUGCCUGUGGUGGAAAACGAUUUUCUAGUGGUUGGGGAUGAGCUCGCGGCCUAUCAGCUUGUUGGUGGGGUAAUGGCCUACCAAGGCGGCGACGGGUAGCCGGCCUGGGAGGGUGGACGGCCACAUUGGGACUGAGAUACGGCCCAGACUCCUACGGGAGGCAGCAGUGGGGAAGAUUGCACAAUGGGCGGAAGCCUGAUGCAGCGACGCCGCGUGGGGGAUGACGGCCUUCGGGUUGUAAACUCCUUUCGACCGCGAGGAAGCCACCUGGUUGGAAGGGUGGUGACGGUAGUGGUAGAAGAAGCACCGGCUAACUACGUG